CGUGAGUGAUGAAGGCUUUCGGGUCGUAAAGCUCUGUCAAGUGGGAAGAACCUACGAAGUGUUAAUAUCACUUUGUACUGACGGUACCACUGAAGGAAGCACCGGCUAACUCCGUGCCAGCAGCCGCGGUAAUACGGGGGGUGCAAGCGUUAUUCGGAAUCAUUGGGCGUAAAGGGCGCGUAGGCGGCCUGUAAAGUCAGAUGUGAAAGCCCGGGGCUCAACCCCGGAAGUGCAUUUGAAACUUAUAGGCUUGAGUAUGGGAGAGGAAAGUGGAAUUCCUGGUGUAGAGGUGAAAUUCGUAGAUAUCAGGAGGAACACCGGUGGCGAAGGCGACUUUCUGGACCAAUACUGACGCUGAGGCGCGAAGGCGUGGGUAGCAAACAGGAUUAGAUACCCUGGUAGUCCACGCAGUAAACGUUGUUCACUAGGUGUAGCGGGUAUUGACCCCUGCUGUGCCGCAGUUAACGCAUUAA
rnacentral:rRNA from 1 species